GCCCGCCCUCUGCCGUCAAAUCAUUCAGCAGUCGGAAUGGGGGGAAGACAAAGGAUAAACAGAAUCCGUGAGGAGAUGAGGAAUCAGUUCCACAAUGUCAAGGAGUCCAGCAAACAUAAAUUUGUCUUCAACUUUCGGGCAACAAAGAAGAUGAAAAAAAAGUCUUGCUGAAUGUGAACAAGCUUUGGCGGAACAUUUUCAUUCUGAGCGUAUGCAUAUCACAAGGGAUAAAUCUGAAGAACCUGGACUGUGGAAAACAGAGUACCAUUGCACGACACAUCACUCGAGGAGCCGAAUAUCAAUGCAUUACUACAGCACCAGCAAAUAUGCAGUAACUAAUAACUCCACAAAUGAGUGAAUCACCACCAUGGGAGCACUGAAAAAAGCCCAGAAAUAACAUCUCUAUUAGGUGACCGUGUAUUGAGGAGGGCAAGGCGAUGUUGAAGGAGGAAUGCUUGACAAUUGUCAGUAGGCUGGAUUCAAUAUGUUGGAGAACCAAUAAGGUAUCACCAAUGUUGUAUCCAUUGUCUACAAUAUGAUGGACAAACAUAUUGGAAGGAUGGAGAAAUGUCAACUGAUGGAAACCUCAUUGUUCCAAAAGAUGAACAACAUGGAAGAGAGGAAUUGGUUCAAUUUGCUUUAUCUCACGUUGGGAAGUCGAAGCUCAAAUAAACCCUGUAAUUCACAAUUGGACAAUUUUGAAGAGAGAUCGCAAUCAACUAUGUGGAAAAGCAUUUUUGACCUUAUGGAUCUACAGUGGUUAUUUUAAUUAAUGGACAAUUAUGGAAUUUCAGGGACACUCUUAAAAAAAUUAAUGGCUAGGACCAAAAUAUCAGAUAAAAAAAUAACACUUCAGAGCUGUUUACCUAUCUUGUGUUAUGAACAGGGAAAUCAGAUUCUUGUUGGAAUGUGCCAUUAACAUAUACAUUUCUCAGUUGCCAUGUUAUAUUUUCUAUAUUGUACCCUCUUCCCAUUUGUGUGUACUGAACCUUCACUUUAGUAAAUAAACAAGUGUAACAGCAAUAUUAUUUAACCUUUGUGGUUGAGUAAACUCUUACUCUACUUAAUAAAAUAAGAUGUUUGUUCUUUUGUUUUAAAAAUAAAG